rnacentral:rRNA from 1 species
UACGUAGGGGGGCAAGCGUUGUCCGGAUUUAUUGGGCGUAAAGAGCGCGCAGGCGGUCGUUCAAGUCGCGUGUGAAAGCCCCCGGCUCAACUGGGGAGGGUCACGCGAUACUGUUCGACUCGAAGGCAGGAGAGGGAAGUGGAAUUCCCGGUGUAGUGGUGAAAUGCGUAGAUAUCGGGAGGAACACCAGUGGCGAAGGCGGCUACCUGGACCAGCACUGGACACUGAGGCACGAAAGCGUGGGGAGCAAACAGGG